GCUGGGUGUGGUGGCUCACACCUGUAAUCCCAGCACUUUGGGAGGCAGAGGCGGGUGGAUCACCUGAGGUCAGGAGUUUGAGACCAGCCUGACCAACAAGGUGAAACCCCAUCUCUA
rnacentral:SRP_RNA from 1 species